GACGAACGCUGGCGGCGUGCUUAACACAUGCAAGUCGAACGGAAAGGCCCUGCUUUUGUGGGGUGCUCGAGUGGCGAACGGGUGAGUAACACGUGAGUAACCUGCCCUUGACUUUGGGAUAACUUCAGGAAACUGGGGCUAAUACCGGAUAGGAGCGCCUGCUGCAUGGUGGGGGUUGGAAAGUUUCGGCGGUUGGGGAUCGACUCGCGGCUUCUCAGCUUGUUGGUGGGGUAGUGGCUUACCAAGGCUUUGACGGGUAGCUGGCCUGAGAGCAGGAUCGGGCACACUGGGACUGAGACACGGCCCAGACUCCUACGGGAGGCAGGGGGGGGGAAUAGUGGACAGUGGGGGCAACCCUGGUCCAGCCGUGCCGCGGGGGGGAUGACGGGGUUAGGGUUGUAAAGCUCUUUGCUCCGGGACGAUAAUGACGGUACCGGAGGAAUAAGCCCCGGCUAACUUCGUG
rnacentral:rRNA from 1 species